UACAGAGGUCCCAAGCGUUGUUCGGAUUCACUGGGCGUAAAGGGUGCGUAGGUGGCCAGGUAAGUUUGGUGUGAAAGCUCGGAGCUCAACUCCGAAAUGGCAUUGAAUACUAUCUGGCUGGAGGGUCGGAGGGGAGACUGGAAUUCUCGGUGUAGCAGUGAAAUGCGUAGAUAUCAGGAGGAAUACCGAUGGCGAAGGCAGGUCUCUGGGCUGACACUGACGCUCAUGCACGAAAGCGUGGGGAGCAAACAGG
rnacentral:rRNA from 1 species